CCGUAAAAAAUAAAACAGGGUUGCUUAAGCCUCAUUGAGCAGUUAAGGACCCUGAUUUGUAAAGAAUGGUGAACCUAAACAUUAUCCAAGUUUACCAAAUUCUAUGUCUAGGAUAACAGAAAGUGACAAACAGUUGAUAAUAAUUUGCACUAGCCAACUAACAGAAUACUCGACCUAUCUUGAGGAAAGGUUCGCUUUCUGCUAUUUCUUAGAACUCAUUCAAUUCCUCAUAGUGGUAAACCAGUAUUGACUGUGGAUGGACAAGAUUAUUUGGUAAUAUUUUGAUUUUAUUCUGAAUACCUGUGUAUACAGAAGCUACACCAAAGUUUGAGUUCUAGCCAAACUCUCUUUGCUUGGAUGAAAUAGAAAUUGCAAUACUUCAAGGAUGAUAGUGAGAAACGCAACAAUCAAUUUCCUACAGUGGUCUAUCUGUUCUUUGUUCAACCCUGGAAGAAACCUAGCUGAGGAUGACCUCUCACCUAAAAUCCGAAGGAUCGAGAUACGCGAGAGGUAAAAUCUUAGUUUUCUACAUACUAUCGCCAAUGUUGCAGAGAUCUGUUAGGGAACCUUUUUAUUUUUUUGGAAGCAAGGUAAGAGGAUAAGAGCACUGCUAAUUUCAUUAAGAGAGUUAAAGUUUUUUUCGAAGCGAAAGAGGAAAAGUUUUUCUCGAAGCAAGAGAGGAAAGGUUUACAAAGUCUUUUAACUAUAUAUGGGCUGAGAAGAAAACCGGACCACCAAGUCACUAACAAGAAUGAUAAGCUAAACAUCAGGCAACUUCUAAUCUGGCAGAAACCAACCAUCAUUUCUUCAGCACAGCUUGCUGGUUGGUGAUGAACAACCGAGUUCCUCCUGGAUGGGAAGAGCGACCUGUUGGUGAUCAAGCUCCUGGCAAUGAAAAUUCAAAGAUCUCUCUCUUCCGAAAUGUUCAAGGAGCAUGUGUAUAUUAAAGCUCUAUUUAAAUCCCAGCGCUUUCCCUUCGGAACAUACACAUACAUCUCAAUGCUGUAUCCAAUUCCCACCACUUGCCAAUCGUGUUGGUUAAAUCCUGAAGGUUUGGUAUCUGUAAACUGUAGCACCCGUUAGCCAAUUGCCAAACUUGUUUUUUGUGUU